UACGGGGGGGGCAAGCGUUGUUCGGAAUUACUGGGCGUAAAGGGCUCGUAGGUGGCCAACUAAGUCAGACGUGAAAUCCCUCGGCUCAACCGAGGAACUGCGCUCUAAACUACCGUGCUCGAGGGAGAUAGAGGUGAGCGGAACUGAGGGUGGAGCGGUGAAAUGCGUUGAUAUCCUCAGGAACACCGGUGGCGAAAGCGGCUCACUGGAUCUCUUCUGACGCUGAGGCACGAAAGCUAGGGUAGCGAACGGG
rnacentral:rRNA from 1 species